GAUGAACGCUGACAGAAUGCUUAACACAUGCAAGUCAACUGUGGCGGACGGGUGAGUAACGCGUAAAGAACUUGCCUCACAGAUAGGGACAACAUUUGGAAACGAAUGCUAAUACCGGAUACUGUGAGAGAGCGUUGCGUCCCAUUAGCUAGUUGGAGAGGUAACGGCGCACCAAGGCGAUGAUGGUUGGCCGGCCGGAGAGGGUGAUCGGCCACAAGGGGACUGGGACACGGCCCGUAGUCCUACGUGAGGCAGCAGGGGGGAAUAUUGGACAAUGGACCAAAGUCUGAUCCAGCAAUUCUGUGUGCACGAUGAAGUUUUCGGAAUGUAAAGUGCUUUCAGUUGGGAAGCAGUACCAACAGAAGAAGUGACGGCUAAAUACGUGCCAGCAGCCGCGGUAAUAC
rnacentral:rRNA from 1 species